AUCAAUAACUAUCGACUUCUCACAACACUAAAGACCUACGAUCUCUAAUAACCAAAAACAAAAAAAGCUAAUCAGAAGAAUUAAUUCAAACAAACGACGGGAAAUAAAAAUUCUUGUGGCCGUUGGUGUUGUAACCAUGCGCACACACUCAACCUAGGACGCCCGGAGGAUUCUGCGGGACGUCACCCCUUAUAAAUAAGUCAGAGUCGCGUUUGUGAAAGGUCAAAGCGGUAAUUAUACAAAGCCCGGGAGAUUUACAAGACACCGUGGAAACUUGCCUCGCAAUUGACGCUGCGUAUGAUGGCUGCACAGAAAGCGGACAUAUAUACAUAUAUGUGGUUCACCUAGUCCAAGGAUAAGGCGGGACGUGCAAACAAGUGCGGCAGUUGAAGCGGCACGACGGCGAUGAUUCGGACUCGCGAUUUUUACUCUGGAUUGCUUAACAAUGAUUGACGCCAGGACUAGCGGCGACGCCGAACGGAAUACCCAGGAACCGGGUACAGUGGAUCCAGGCCAUUUAAGAGUAAUCCCUGCAAUCCGGAAUUAAAUCAAACGGCUAGAUCGCCCAACAGGUUUCCGAAAGCUUCUCACCAAAACCAUCACCAUAUCGUGCUACCUAUCGAUAAAGCCCCAUUAUCAUUGACUCCAACUGCAACAAAGUAGUGACGUGAACGUUUUGGGCAAUCUGUUGCCGUUAGGCAUAGAAAGUGACAAGAUAGAAAUUGGCGUGAUCGUUUUGAGAAAUUUUCAAGACAAAUAUGUAAUACAAAAAAUAUCCAAACAAGAGGGAGUAUUGUGCAGUUUGUGGGCAUUAGAGUAAGCGUUGCCUAAAUGUUUUUUGCAAUAGAAAUUGGCAAGACAAAUAAGAAAGCGAACCAUUUUGAAAAGUAUGGGGGUGACACGUGUGAGCUGUUUUACGGGCGGCUAUCUUGUAAAACAAAUCUUCGCUGCUUCUAAAUCUGUACAAGCUGCAUGCUUGUUU